AUCCUGUUAAGUCAGGCAACGAACGAGAUCCGCACCUUUAUUUGCCACCAAGAAGUCACGACUUCGUUGGGAACACUAAAGGGACCGCCGUCGAUAAGACGGAGGAAGGAGCGGGCAAAGGCAGGUCAGUAUGCCCCGAAACCCCUGGGCUACACGCGGGCUGCAAUGGUAUGAACAAUGGGCUGUGACUCCGAAAGGAGAAACCAAUCCCGAAAUCAUAUCUCAGUUGGAAUUGUCGGCUGUAACCCGCCGACAUGAACGCGGAAUCCCUAGUAAUCGUGUGUCAUCAUCGCACGGUGAAUACGUCUCUGCUCCUUGCACACACCGCCCGUCGCUCCAUCCGAGUGUGCUAAAAAUGAGGUUUGGUCAAUUUGGUCAUAUCGAGUUUCUAGUAUGCGAGGAGGGAGAAGUCGUAACAAGGUAGCCGUAGGGGAACCUGCGGCUGGAUCACCUCCUAU
rnacentral:rRNA from 1 species